GAUCUUUCCAUCCUCCAAGGGCAGCAAGUUCAGAAGCAGCCAAUCAGUUCUACACUACAUAAGGUGCUUUGGACAUGCUGGGAGAUAAUUGUACAGAUCCACUAAUAACAUUGUGCUUUAAAAGCUGCAAAGUGGGAAGAACAUAACGCAAAGCAUAUUCAAGGGGUGCCAGCUCAUUAUGCUGACAGGUUGGGCAGAAACAAAGAUGGCAAACAUCAGAACAGCAGAACCACUCGCUCUCAGGGUACUUCCAAGAUGUUUCUGUUGCUGGCAGUUGUACCAACCCAUCACUGUUUGAGGAAGAAAUUCACUCUUAGUCCUUGGAGUCUGACUUGGAGAGCAGGGAAAGGAAUCCCUCCAUCAUUUCAGGAUGGAUGCACUGGCCAGAUCCACCAUUUCUUGCUGCUUUCCUGCAGAAUUUUGGAGAAGCAGGUAUUAGGCUAGAGACAGAAAAGUGGAUUGGGAAAAUGAUCCUUUGGUGGAACUCCAUCAGAGCUGGAAGCUGCUGCCCCCAGCAGCAAGGCUUUAACCAAUAAA